CCCUUAGAUGUUCUGGGCCGCACGCGCGCUACACUGAUGCAUUCAACGAGUUUCUUCCUGGUCCGAGAGGUAUGGGUAACCUUUUGAAAGUGCAUCGUGAUAGGGAUAGACUAUUGCAAUUAUUGGUCUUCAACGAGGAAUUCCUAGUAGACGUAGUUCAUCAGACUGCAUCGAUUACGUCCCUGCCCUUUGUACACACCGCCCGUCGCUCCUACCGAUUGAAUGCUCAGGUGAGCCAUUCGGACUUUCAUCAUGCUGGUUUCCAGUUUUGAUGAAGGAAAGUCUUGCGAACCUUAUCAUUUAGAGGAAGGAGAAGUCGUAACA
rnacentral:rRNA from 1 species